rnacentral:misc_RNA from 1 species
UCCGGUUUGACACCGGCAGUCCCGUUAGAGUGCCCAGCUUUACCUGUUGGCAACUAACGGCGAGGGUUGCGCUCGUUGCGGGACUUAACCCAACAUCUCACGACACGAGCUGACGACAGCCAUGCACCACCUGUGAGGGUGCCCCGAAGGGAAGCCGUGUUUCCACGGCGGUCACCCACAUGUCAAGCCCAGGUAAGGUUCUUCGCGUUGCGUCGAAUUAAACCACAUGCUCCGCUGCUUGUGCGGGUUCCCGUCAAUUCCUUUGAGUCUUAGCCUUGCGGCCGUACUCCCCAGGCGGGAUGCUUAAUGCGUUAGCUGCGCCACCAACAAGCAUGCUUGCUGACGGCUAGCAUCCAUCGUUUACGGCGUGGACUAC